rnacentral:lncRNA from 1 species
GCUCCAAACCUCUUCAGCCACAGGGUCCCAGGCGGUGGAGGAAAUGUCUCAGAGCUGGAGCAGCAGCCAAUGGCAGGCUCUCCUGGAGCCUCUACAAGACUACGGUCAUUCCCAGAGCCCCCAGGCUGGGCUCUGAGGGCCUUCUAAGGGUGGGGACUGGAGAGAAAGAGAACAAAAGGGCUUGUGGCUUCCCUGAGAGUCCAUCUGUGUGCUCUGCCCAGCACCCCAGGCACUGUCCUCCUAAGACUCAGGGCGCACCUCCAGAAACAACCCAGCCUGGGACACUCAGAUAGCUGCCCUCAGCUUCCAUCUCCUCUCCACUCCACUCAGUGGAUCGCAAGGUCAGUAAAUGCCAGCAUCCUCUCAUUUUCAGUCCUGAAUGUCUUCUCCUAAGAGUCUUAAUCCUCUCCGGUAAAAUGAGUAUUCACUGGGCUUCCACCAUGUGCUAGACACCAAGAAUACCAAUCAUACAGCCCUCCCUCCAGGAACCUACGUGCUGAAGGAGGAGAUAAUGGAGAAACAGAACAGCUGCCCACCACAGCAUGAGCAGUGCCACCGGUGAACUUGGGAUCGUGCUGCAGGCUCCCUGGAGGGGUUUACAUCUGAGAUGAGUCUUCAAUGAGAAGGAAUCAGCCUGGUGGAGAAGGAGGGCACAUCCAGGAGAGGGACUGGCAUGAACAAAGGCAUGGAGCAGACAAAAGUAGUUUAACCUGGGCAAUGGGAGUGGGGGAUGGAGAAACAGAGGGUAUCUGCGUGAAUUCAUUGAGCUCUCCGUGAAAGGCUGAGAGGUCGGGGACUUCAACCUGGGUGCCAGGACGUGGAGCUUGGACUCUACCUGCAGGCAAUGGGAAGUCACUGAAGGGUAUUGAGCAGAGAUAUGCCAUGAUCAG